GAAGCGCGGGAAGCAAGCAGAACCCCUUUCGGGGGUGACGCAUGUGGAACGAGCNNNNNACGGGUGAGUAACACGUGGGCAACCUGCCUGUAAGACUGGGAUAACUCCGGGAAACCGGGGCUAAUACCGGAUAAUACGUUUUCUUGCAUAAGGAGACGUUAAAAGGCGGCGCAAGCUGUCACUUACAGAUGGGCCCGCGGCGCAUUAGCUAGUUGGUGGGGUAAAAGCCUACCAAGGCGACGAUGCGUAGCCGACCUGAGAGGGUGAUCGGCCACACUGGGACUGAGACACGGCCCAGACUCCUACGGGAGGCAGCAGUAGGGAAUCUUCCGCAAUGGACGAAAGUCUGACGGAGCAACGCCGCGUGAGUGAAGAAGGUUUUCGGAUCGUAAAACUCUGUUGUUAGGGAAGAACAAGUGCCGUUCAAAUAGGGCGGCACCUUGACGGUACCUNAACCAGAAAGCCCCGGCUAACUACGUGCCAGCAGCCGCGGUAAUACGUAGGGGGCAAGCGUUGUCCGGAAUUAUUGGGCGUAAAGCGCGCGCAGGCGGUCUUUUAAGUCUGAUGUGAAAGCCCACGGCUUAACCGUGGAGGGCCAUUGGAAACUGGAGGACUUGAGUACAGAAGAGGAGAGUGGAAUUCCACGUGUAGCGGUGAAAUGCGUAGAGAUGUGGAGGAACACCAGUGGCGAAGGCGACUCUCUGGUCUGUAACUGACGCUUAGGUGCGAAAGCGUGGGUAGCGAACAGGAUUAGAUACCCUGGUAGUCCACGCCGUAAACGAUGAGUGCUAGGUGUUAGGGGGUUUCCGCCCCUUAGUGCUGCAGUUAACGCAUUAAGCACUCCGCCUGGGGAGUACGGCCGCAAGGCUGAAACUCAAAAGAAUUGACGGGGACCCGCACAAGCGGUGGAGCAUGUGGUUUAAUUCGAAGCAACGCGAAGAACCUUACCAGGUCUUGACAUCCUCUGACGGCCCUAGAGAUAGGGAGUUCCCUUCGGGGACAGAGUGACAGGUGGUGCAUGGUUGUCGUCAGCUCGUGUCGUGAGAUGUUGGGUUAAGUCCCGCAACGAGCGCAACCCUUGAUCUUAGUUGCCAGCAUUCAGUUGGGCACUCUAAGGUGACUGCCGGUGACAAACCGGAGGAAGGUGGGGAUGACGUCAAAUCAUCAUGCCCCUUAUGACCUGGGCUACACACGUGCUACAAUGGAUGGAACAAAGGGCAGCGAAGCCGUGAGGCCAAGCAAAUCCCACAAAACCAUUCUCAGUUCGGAUUGCAGGCUGCAAACUCGCCUGCAUGAAGCCGGAAUCGCUAGUAAUCGCGGAUCAGCAUGCCGCGGUGAAUACGUUCCCGGGUCUUGUACACACCGCCCGUCACACCA
rnacentral:rRNA from 1 species